rnacentral:tRNA from 1 species
AGAAGCUUAGGUUUAAUUAGACCAAGGGCCUUCAAAGCCCUAAGCGAGGGUGAAAACCCCUUAGCUUCUG